rnacentral:piRNA from 1 species
GUAUAGAGGAAUAACCCUGAGCAAAGCUG